AUCAAAGGGCUCUGUCGUGAGCGGCACAUGUAAGCCAGCUACAUUGCUCUUCCUGUGGAAUUGAAAUCAAGAGAUUUCAGAAUCCUAAUUUUUUGGUACCUGGGCAGCUGGUGAUCAUUGGUCCUGGUGCCCCA
ensembl:snRNA